GUCUCGUGACCCCUCGCCCACACGCCCAUCCCUCCCUGCCUCCUCGAUCUCUCUCCCUCGUCAGCCGCAAUGGUACGAAGCAACAAACCCUAGCCCCCUUUCCCACGGCUGUUGCGCCCCGACCCCUCCCUCCACCCUCCUCCCCGAUCUCGAUGGUCGUCGUCCCUCUCACUCCUCCUGCUUCAUCAAGACAGCCAGCACGUCCAUCCCUCCUUAGGCGCCAUGGUGGCGGUCGGGCCGGAGCGGGGGCGGAAAGCCGUGGGGAGUCCGCCGGCAGGAGGAAGCAGUAUAGGGGCUGAUGAAGCGACGGAUGUGAUCCACCGCCUCCCUAGGUGCUCAUCCGCCUCGGCUCGUGAGGAAGCAGCGGGAGGAGGGAUGAGCUCAACUGGGCGCAUCAGAGAAAGAGGGAAGGAGCGGAUACCAGCCAGGAGGCUGCUCGGCUCAGUCCAGCCAUGGAGCUGGCGCUGCGGAUUCCCUGCUAGCCUCCUUCAUCUUCAUGUGGAUUUAGGUGGCACACUAGAUGUUGCACCACCGAUGGCAGUAGCCAGAUUUGGCGUUCGUGGUGCAAUGGCUUGGUGUUGCCCUUGCUUGAUGGUGCUGGAUAUGUCAAUAAACUGAUCGUGGAUUAUCUCCAACUGUGUAGUUACCUCUCUCGCUCUCAAUGGUGACGUAGAUCUCCUUUUGACCGAUAUGCCAUUGUUUCGUGCAGCCAGUUGAGGUUGGGGUGUGCUUGUGCAGAUAGUCGAUGGGGCGCUUGGCCUUCUAGCUAUAGACUGAUUGACAGGCAUGGUUCAUUGUUAUUUCCUUCCUUUAAUAGUAUUGUAAGGGAAGCAGGUUCUCCAAAUAAAUGCGGAAGAUUGCAGCAUCAAGGGUAUCACUUCACUAGAUUUUUCUACUUCUUGGUGGGCAGCUAAAUUAGUUUCCCUGGUCCGUUUCUCAACUAUCACAGAAGAACUCUUUACUCUGUAAUUUUCUCUUUAUUUGUGCUGAAGGCAUAGAUCAAGUGCUACAUGGCUAUGCUCUUCGGAGCUUAGAGCAUCAGUGGUUGGCCUCCUUUCUAUUUGUUCUUUUUUCUAGGAUUUGCGUGUGUUAAUCGGAUGAAUAUAUGGAAGGAUACAGAGAGGCCAGAGAGUUUGCUAUCAAAUUCUCAAGCAGCAAGAAGAUAGCUAGCCUAAAUGAAUCAAGACAUGAACAGUGUCGAGAAGUUACGGAUGCAGAAGUGCAGCAAGUAUCGCCUCUAUUUUUUUAUCUCAAAUCAACCGCAGAAAAAACUACUGGAUAAUCAUCUUCUUGCCACUUUAUAAUUGGCUUACUGCUAUGAUCCUGGUGUUAUUUGCUAUGAGAAAAGAACGAGAGGUUCAAUGUGCACCUCAUAUCAUCACAUCAAAUGGAAUAAUUGAAUAGGCUUAUAUAUCAUCAUAUCUGCACACA